rnacentral:rRNA from 1 species
AGUGAACGCUGGCGGCGUGCCUAAUACAUGCAAGUCGAACGAACGAAUAAGAGCUUGCUCUUAUAAGUUAGUGGCGCACGGGUGAGUAAUAUAUAGCUAAUCUGCCUCUUAGUAGAGGAUAACAGUCGGAAACGAUUGCUAAUACUCUAUACUUCUGCUUUACAUAAGUAAAGUAGAGAAAGUUUUUCGCUAAGAGAUGAGGCUAUACUGUAUCAGCUAGUUGGUAAGGUAACGGCUUACCAAGGCUAUGACGCAUAACUGGUCUGAGAGGAUGAUCAGUCACAUUGGAACUGAGACACGGUCCAAACUCCUACGGGAGGCAGCAGUAGGGAAUAUUGCGCAAUGGGGGCAACCCUGACGCAGCAACGCCGCGUGGAGGAUGACACUUUUCGGAGCGUAAACUCCUUUUAUCGGGAAAGAAUAAUGACGGUACCCGAUGAAUAAGCACCGGCUAACUCCGUG